GAACUCGAGAGUUUGAUUCUGGCUCAGAAUGAACGCUGGCGGCGUGCCUCAGACAUGCAAGUCGUACGAGAAAGUUCCUUCGGGAACGAGUAGAGUGGCGCACGGGUGAGUAAUACUUAGGUAACGUACCCUUUUGCUGGGGAUAACCAGGGGAAACCCUGGCUAAUACCGAAUACUUCCAUCAUUAGCUUCGGCGAAGAUGGACAAAGCCGUAAGGCGCGAAAGGAGUGGCUUAAGUCCCAUUAGCUUGUUGGUGGGGUAAUGGCCUACCAAGACUAUGACGGCUAGCCGAUGUGAGAGCAUGAUCGGCCACAAGGCUACUG
rnacentral:rRNA from 1 species